ACGAUGAAUGCUAGGUGUGGGAUCGAAUGGUUCCGUGCCGGAGCGAACUCGAUAAGCAUUCCGCCUGGGGAGUACGUCCGCAAGGUUAAAACUCAAACGAAUUGACGGGGCCCCGCACAAGCAGCGGAGCGUGUGGUUUAAUUCGAUGCUACACGAAGAACCUUACCUGGGUUUGACAUGUAGGUGGUAGUGAAUCGAAAGGUGAACGACCCUUCGGGGAGCCUACACAGGUGCUGCAUGGCUGUCGUCAGCUCGUGCCGUGAGGUGUCGGGUUAAGUCCCGUAACGAGCGCAACCCUUGCUCCUAGUUACAAGUGUCUACGGGGGACUGCCGGCGGAAAGCCGGAGGAACCCUCGGGAUCACGUCAAGUCAGCAUGGCCCUUAUAUCCAGGGCUACACACACGCUACAAUGGUCGGUACAAAGGGCAGCGAAACCGCGAGGCGGAGCGAAUCCGAGNAAAGCCGAUCGUAGUUCGGAUAGCAGGCUGCAACCCGCAUGCUUGAAGCUGGAGUUGCUAGUAACCGCGCGUCAGCCAUCUCACCUCUCGAUACGUUCCCGGGGCUUGUACACACCGCCAGUCACGUCAUGGGAGUC
rnacentral:rRNA from 1 species